rnacentral:rRNA from 1 species
UGGCGGACGGGUGAGUAAUACAUCGGAACGUGCCCGAUCGUGGGGGAUAACGAAGCGAAAGCUUUGCUAAUACCGCAUACGAUCUACGGAUGAAAGCAGGGGACCGCAAGGCCUUGCGCGGACGGAGCGGCCGAUGGCAGAUUAGGUAGUUGGUGGGAUAAAAGCUUACCAAGCCGACGAUCUGUAGCUGGUCUGAGAGGACGACCAGCCACACUGGGACUGAGACACGGCCCAGACUCCUACGGGAGGCAGCAGUGGGGAAUUUUGGACAAUGGGCGAAAGCCUGAUCCAGCCAUGCCGCGUGCAGGAUGAAGGCCUUCGGGUUGUAAACUGCUUUUGUACGGAACGAAAAGACUCUGGUUAAUACCUGGGGUCCAUGACGGUACCGUAAGAAUAAGCACCGGCUAACUACGUGCCAGCAGCCGCGGUAAU